CUAGCGGCGGACGGGUGAGUAACGCGUGGGAACGUGCCCUUUGCUACGGAAUAGCCUCUGGAAACGGAGAGUAAUACCGUAUGUGCCCUUUGGGGGAAAGAUUUAUCGGCAAAGGAUCGGCCCGCGUUGGAUUAGGUAGUUGGUGGGGUAAUGGCCCACCAAGCCGACGAUCCAUAGCUGGUUUGAGAGGAUGAUCAGCCACACUGGGACUGAGACACGGCCCAGACUCCUACGGGAGGCAGCAGUGGGGAAUCUUAGACAAUGGGGGCAACCCUGAUCUAGCCAUGCCGCGUGAGUGAUGAAGGCCUUAGGGUUGUAAAGCUCUUUCAGCUGGGAAGAUAAUGACGGUACCAGCAGAAGAAGCCCCGGCUAACUCCGUGCCAGCAGCCGCGGUAAUACGGAGGGGGCUAGCGUUGUUCGGAAUUACUGGGCGUAAAGCGCACGUAGGCGGACUGGAAAGUUGGGGGUGAAAUCCCGGGGCUCAACCUCGGAACUGCCUU
rnacentral:rRNA from 2 species